rnacentral:rRNA from 1 species
GACGAACGCUGGCGGCGUGCUUAACACAUGCAAGUCGAACGGAAAGGCCCUGCUUUUGUGGGGUGCUCGAGUGGCGAACGGGUGAGUAACACGUGAGUAACCUGCCCUUGACUUUGGGAUAACUUCAGGAAACUGGGGCUAAUACCGGAUAGGAGCUCCUGCUGCAUGGUGGGGGUUGGAACGUUUCGGCGGGUGGGGAUGGACUCGCGGCUUAUCAGCUUGUUGGUGGGGUAGUGGAUUACCAAGGCUUUGACGGGUAGCCGGCCUGAGAGGGUGACCGGCCACAUGGGGACUGAGAGACGGCCCAGACUCCUACGGGAGGCAGCAGUGGGGAAUAUGGCACAAUGGGCGGAAGCCUGAUGCAGCAACGCCGCGUGCGGGAUGACGGCCUUCGGGUUGUAAACCGCUUUCGCCUGUGACGAAGCGGGAGUGACGGUAAUGGGUAAAGAAGCACCGGCUAACUACGUG